GUUAGGAAUAUUGGACAAUGGGCGCAAGCCUGAUCCAGCCACGCCGCGUGAACGAUGAAGGCCUUCGGGUUGUAAAGUUCUUUAGCCGAUGAUUAUAAUGACUGUAGUCGGAAAAUAAGCCCCGGCUAACUUCGUGCCAGCAGCCGCGGUAAUACGAAGGGGGCGAGCGUUAUUCGGAAUCACUGGGCGUAAAGCGUGCGUAGGCGGUCUCGUAAGUUAGGAGUGAAAGCCCAGGGCUCAACCUUGGAAUUGCUCUUAAAACUGCAAGGCUAGAAUCUCGGAGAGGAUAGCGGAAUUUCCAGUGUAGCAGUGAAAUGCGUAGAUAUUGGAAGGAACACCAGUGGCGUAAGCGGCUAUCUGGACGAGUAUUGACGCUGAGGCACGAAAGCGUGGGGAUCAAACAGGAUUAGAUACCCCAGUAGUCC
rnacentral:rRNA from 1 species